AUUGAAUGCUGGCGGCAUGCCUUACACAUGCAAGUCGAACGGUAACAGGUCUUCGGAUGCUGACGAGUGGCGAACGGGUGAGUAAUACAUCGGAACGUGCCUAGUAGUGGGGGAUAACUACUCGAAAGAGUGGCUAAUACCGCAUGAGAUCUACGGAUGAAAGCAGGGGAUCGCAAGACCUUGUGCUACUAGAGCGGCGGAUGGCAGAUUAGGUAGUUGGUGGGAUAAAAGCUUACCAAGCCGACGAUCUGUAGCUGGUCUGAGAGGACGAUCAGCCACACUGGGACUGAGACACGGCCCAGACUCCUACGGGAGGCAGCAGUGGGGAAUUUUGGACAAUGGGCGAAAGCCUGAUCCAGCAAUGCCGCGUGCAGGAUGAAGGCCUUCGGGUUGUAAACUGCUUUUGUACGGAACGAAAAGCCCCGGGUUAAUACCCUGGGGUCAUGACGGUACCGUAAGAAUAAGCACCGGCUAACUACGUGCCAGCCGCCGCGGUAA
rnacentral:rRNA from 1 species